CCCUACGCCACCACAGCACGCCCUGGGCCUCCUGUCACUUUAAAUCCAAAUAAGUUGCUGCUGGCCACGCCCCCAAAUCAACGGUGACACUCGCAUUUGAAAACGGCUGCAUCAAAUGUUCAAUUAUUCAACCGUGCAUCUUUGAAAAGCAGAAGUGGAGCCUCCUGCACAACCAGCAGGACUGCAGCAAGUGAUUUCUGGAGGCUAAUGAAAACAGUUGAGUCAAACAGUUGGGCUUUGUUAAUGUUUUUAAGAUUGCUGGUGAAUGUCGUGGCUCUACAUUGCGACCACAUCCUGCAGCGGGCGGUGACGUCCUGCGAGGAUCAGCAGUAAACCCUCGGAUCCGGUUUAUCAGCAGACCGGCUCACAUUCCUCAUCAAAUCUGUCUGACUUUCCUCCUGAGGAAAACAUGAGAUGCUUUUGGUUAGUCAGUCAGUCUGGUCCAUUUUGAGGCCAAACGACGAGUCGGAAUAAAUCAUCUGUUCACUAAAGGGGACAUCAUGCAUUAUCACUGAGUUAAAAUAUAAAAGUGGCUGGACGGUCGACGUCCUGCAUGUUCUAGUAGUGAAAGUUUUAAUAGUUGCUCAUCAGGGCUUCCCCAGUGUUUUAUAAGCCUGGCAGCCACCAGGCUUUGCUUGUCCCCCCACCAGGCUUAGCAUUGCUUAUUUAUUUUAUGUUUUUUAAUGUUUGCUUUUUUAAAUACUGUACUUUGUAGUUGGUGUUCAGAUGUUAAUCUUUCAGUCUUUCAAUAACACAUAAUUAUCAGUUAUCACUCAGAAACACAACGGGCUGCUGGAUGAUUUACUGCUGCGCCCAACCACCAGGUUUUAACCUUAAAACAUGUUAUAUGGUCAAAAUAAUUCGUUGGUCAAAAUUCUAUAUUUUUUACAUGACUAACUUACAAUUUACAUGUAAUCAAGAAACAGGAGAUUGUUUUAA